rnacentral:rRNA from 1 species
AGUGAACGCUGGCGGUAGGCCUAACACAUGCAAGUCGAACGGCAGCACAGUAAGAGCUUGCUCUUACGGGUGGCGAGUGGCGGACGGGUGAGGAAUACAUCGGAAUCUACUUUUUCGUGGGGGAUAACGUAGGGAAACUUACGCUAGUACCGCAUACGACCUACGGGUGAAAGCAGGGGAUCUUCGGACCUUGCGCGAUUGAAUGAGCCGAUGUCGGAUUAGCUAGUUGGCGGGGUAAAGGCCCACCAAGGCGACGAUCCGUAGCUGGUCUGAGAGGAUGAUCACCCACACUGGAACUGAGACACGUCCCACACUCCUACGGGAGGCAGCAGUGGGGAAUAUUGGACAAUGGGCGAAAGCCUGAUCCAGCCAUAUCGCGUGGGUGAAGAAGUCCUUCGGGUUGUAAAGCCCUGUUGUUGGUAAAGAAAAGCAGCAGGUUAAUACCCCGCUGUUCUGACGGUACCCAAAGAAUAAGCACCGGCUAACUUCGUG